rnacentral:rRNA from 1 species
GAUGAACGCUGGCGGCGUGCCUAAUACAUGCCAGUCGAGCGAACAGACGAGGAGCUUGCUCCUCUGACGUUAGCGGCGGACGGGUGAGUAACACGUGGAUAACCUACCUAUAAGACUGGGAUAACUUCGGGAAACCGGAGCUAAUACCGGAUAAUAUAUUGAACCGCAUGGUUCAAUAGUGAAAGACGGUUUUGCCGUCACCUCUAGAUUGAUCCGCGCCGCAUUAGCUAGUUGGUAAGGUAACGGCUUACCAAGGCAACGAUGCGUAGCCGACCUGAGAGGGUGAUCGGCCACACUGGAACUGAGACACGGUCCAGACUCCUACGGGAGGCAGCAGUAGGGAAUCUUCCGCAAUGGGCGAAAGCCUGACGGAGCAACGCCGCGUGAAUGAUGAAGGUCUUCGGAUCGUAAAACUCUGUUAUUAGGGAAGAACAAAUGUGUAAGUAACUAUGCACGUCUUGACGGUACCUAAUCAGAAAGCCACGGCUAACUACGUG